AACGAACGCUGGCGGCAGGCUUAACACAUGCAAGUCGAACGUGAAGCUGGAGCUUGCUCCAGUGGAAAGUGGCAGACGGAUGAGUAACGCGUGGGAAUUUACCCAGUGGUUCGGAAUAACUUCAGGAAACCGGAGCUAAUACCGAAUACGCCCUUCGGGGGAAAGAUUUAUCGCCAUUGGAUAAGCCCGCGUCGGAUUAGCUUGUUGGUGAGGUAAAAGCUCACCAAGGCGACGAUCCGUAGCUGGUCUGAGAGGAUGAUCAGCCACACUGGGACUGAGACACGGCCCAGACUCCUACGGGAGGCAGCAGUGGGGAAUAUUGCGCAAUGGAGGAAACUCUGACGCAGCCAUGCCGCGUGAGUGAAGAAGGCCUUAGGGUUGUAAAACUCUUUCGCUAGGGAAGAUAAUGACGGUACCUAGUAAAGAAGCCCCGCCAACU
rnacentral:rRNA from 1 species